ACUCCUACGGGAGGCAGCAGUCGAGAAUUUUUCUCAAUGGGGGCAACCCUGAAGGAGCGACGCCGCGUGGAGGAUGAAGGCUUUCGGGUUGUAAACUCCUGUCAUUUGAGAACAAGUGGGACGCAGUAACUACGCGUCCCUUGAUAGUAUCAGAAGAGGAAGGGACGGCUAACUCUGUGCCAGCAGCCGCGGUAAUACAGAGGUCCCGAGCGUUGUUCGGAUUCAUUGGGCGUAAAGGGUGCGUAGGUGGCGUGGUAAGUCGGGUGUGAAAUUUCGGAGCUUAACUCCGAAACUGCAUUCGAUACUGCCGUGCUUGAGGACUGGAGAGGAGACUGGAAUUUACGGUGUAGCGGUGAAAUGCGUAGAGAUC
rnacentral:rRNA from 1 species